CCGACCAGGGCUGGCUGUGUCUGUGACUUUCUAUAUCCACUUGCACGGGCUGUCAACAUUGGCAGUGAUGUUGCCACCUCCCCCCAGGUGCCUGGACAGCAAGAGGGACAGAGCUGUGCUGGCCGCGCUGGUUGAGAAGCAGCAGCAAGCCCUCAGCAGAUUGGAGAAGGAGCAGAGGGAAAUCCAAUACCUGAGACACACGCAGCUGUUCAGGCACCGGGACAGGAAGCUGCUUCUGCAGCAUCAGAGGGACGUCGUCUCCAUGCCGGGGCCUGUGGACAUCCUCCCCAUCCCGGGGCCCACGGACGUCGUCCCAGCGCACGAGCUGCAGGCCCAGGCCAAGCUGCAGCAGGGUUCCAGCCCCAAAGUCAAGGCCGCCUGGGAGGGAGGCUCAGAGACAAGCCAGCAGCCAGAGGCCUCCCUGUGUCCCCUGACCCCAUGCAGGCCCAGCAGCUCCACCAGCCAUCGCCCCCAGAGCAGCCCCGCAAGCUCAAAGGCCACGCGCCCUCCCACUGAGCAGCAGGAUGUGACGCCACCCCAGACAACCUCCGAUGCAGAUGGUCACCAGCAGCCUCCGAGGCCAGCAUGGGGCGAGGACACACACGACCCCCAGGGCCCGCUGGUGGAGAGUGGCAGCCAUGUCAGUCAAGAGCCUGGGGAGCAGCCUCGGGCCCCUCUGCUGGGCCUGCAGCACGUGAGCCCCCCGGACGGACAGCGGCUGGGCCCAGCCUUUCCCGCCGAGGAGGCGGAGGGGCGCCUCCCCACAGCUCAGUGCAGGUCUCGGGAGGUGAAGGAGCCACCCCCAGGUAAGCACCCUGGAAACACCGCGUGGGCCUCCACGGCGCCAGACACUUCCCCCACAUCCAGCAGAGCCUGUCCGAGGCUGGAGCUCAGCCACUGGACAAGGACGGAAAGCAAAGAAGAUGGGCCCUGGUGGCCCCCCACCCUGGCCUCAGACCCCUUCACUGCAAGAAGAGUGGCCGGCUCCAUCUCCUACCGGAGGUGACGCAGCGGCUCUUCUGGAGAAAUUAAAAGUCAUAACUGGCUGGGAUUGUUUUAGUCGCAACUUCGUUCAUCUGGGGCAGAUUUUUAAGUGUUUGGAAGCCAGCACUGCCUGAGCGUCUUCAGCUGACGGAGGUUUCUGCACCGAUUACAUUUUUCUCUUUCUGAACCUUACACUUGGCCGGGGCCCCCCCCGAGAGCCAAGUCCCCAAUUUGCAGGUGGGGCGGGAGCAGAUGCACUCACAGUGUCAGGGAACCCUGGUGGUGCGUCUGGUAGCCGCCGGCUGAAGAGUGGGGGGUUGUGUGCCCUGCGAUGCCACCUCGGAGCUCCCUGACCAGCCCUGGGUGCCGAAUUCAGAAGGCCCCCACCCAGUGUCCAUCCUCGGAAGCAGGGAGACUAUGCCACCCAAGGGGGGUGGCAUAGACUGGGGGGUCCCUGCCGUUGGGGCCAGGGAGAGCAAACCUCAGGACAGAUGGGUUGAGACGGAAAGAGAUCAGAAGCACUUGUGGGGCUGCCCAGGAGAGCGUGGCUGGUGGGGCUCCCUGGAGAGGCCAGUGACACUGGGAGGCGGAGUGAAUACAGAGCGCUUUCCCUCUGUGUCCCGCGUCACCUCCGGGCCUGCGCUGUUCAGGCUUCUGCGGCCACCGUGAAGCUUGCUCAGCCUGAAGCCUCCCUCGCCGCAUGGCCACGUGUACCAGCUGUCACCGUUCGGGGGGCCAGCCAGGCGCCUGCACCCACCAUGGGUCCUCGUUGCCUCUGGAGGUGGAUUCACUCGUUAUGCCCACGCAGCAGAGGAGGAGCCUGAGGCCUGACUUAUGUUCUCACGUGGUCUAGGGUUCACCCUGAGUCUGCCUGACUGCGGUGCCGGCCGCUCUCUGAUCAAAAGACUGCGCUUGCAGGGGCUCCCUGGGUGACGCCCCAUUGUGGUCGCUGGGGUCACCCGGAGCCACGGACAAGAGGGCAGGUGUUCCCACUGAUGGAGCUUCCCCCUCCUUGGGCUUUAGACAAACAGCUCUGGUUCCCUUAGCCAGGUGGCCUUGGCUCUCAGAGUCCCCUGACCCCACAGAACGAAAGUCUAGGGAGAUGGAGGUGCAAUGCUGGGGGGCCUGGUGCUCCUGGGGAGGGCUCUGCGGUGGCCCCACCCGUCCCUUUGUCCCCCUUUGUGAUCCCCGGCGGUGCACUGGUGGCCUUGCUGUGUCCGAGGCCUGCCCCCCACCGGCCCUCUGCACCACCCCUGCCUCACACCAGUGUCUGUCGGACGGCACCGAGGGGGAAGAACAAGCUCUGGCAAAAGGUUUCCCCCAAGGGAGGGAAAGAGGCCUCUAAAUUAUUAUUAUUAUUAUUAUUAUUAUUAUUAUAAUUUUGAGACAAAGUCUCACUCUCUCCCCAGCUGGAGUACAGUAGCGUGAUCUUGGCUCACUGCAACCUCCGCCUCCCGGGUUCAAGCAAUUCUUUUGCCUCAGCCUCCUGAGUAGCUGGAAUUAUAGGCCCCCGCCACCAUGCCCGCCUAAUUUUUGUAUUUUUAGUAGAGACGGGGUUUCACUACAUUGGCCAGGCUGGUCUCGAACUCCUGACCUUGUGAUCCGCCCGCCUCGGCCUCCCAGAGUGCUGGGAUUAUAGGCGUGAGCCACUGCGCCCAGCCGGCCUCUGAAUUCUAAACGAAUUUUCUCUAAACUUUUGGCUGGGACUUUGAUCACUAACUGUCCAAUGACAGGAUCAUUUUAGGAGCAAACUACCAUGUAUGUUUCCGCCCUCAUACUAACCAAGCACUGUAGAAAGGUGUACACCACUUUGAAUUUUAAGAUUUGUUUUAUGUGGCUUCGGAAUUCCUGGGAGCUGCUCCUGCUCCCUGCCUCUGUCCCCACCAGUGCUGACAGUCCCUUUGCCCUCCAGGAGACCCUCAGACCAAGCCCGGCCCUUCCUUAGCAGGGAAGCCCCGGGCUCCAACAGACAGCCAUGUGGGGAGCUUCAGGGAACGCAGCCGACGCUCCUGCGGCAGAGAAGGUCCUUGUGGCCCACAAGAAGCCAGCCAGGUGGCUGAGGACAGCAUGAGCGAAGAGGGCUUGGAAUCGGGGCUGGAUUUUGCUGAGAGCCCCGUGGAGGAGUCCCAGGAAACCGAGAGCUGGCGAUCGGGGGAGCAGAGGACGGAGGCCUGUCAGCAGGAGGUCCCCGGCAUCUCCUCCACCUGGCUGGAGGCUGCCCAGGCCGCUGCCUCCCCAGCUCCUGUGGUCCCUGAGGAGGCGGCGCCCCCAAUCCUGCACCAGGGCAGUCCCCUUCUCCCCACCACCUCCUCCUGCGGUCCAGGCUCUGAGUCUGCUUCUGGAACCUGCUGGGGGCCUUCGGAAGAAGCCACGGUGUCAUCCCACACCUCCCCAGCAGGCUCUGUGAGCAGCCUGUCCUGUCCCUCUCUCUGGGAGUUCCAGAAAGCAGCGGCUACCCUGAUCCAGCUUUCUGGGAGCUCCAGCUCUCUUCCCAGCUUGGAAGCUGAAGACUCCCCAGACGAAGGUUUCAGCUGGCCUGGAGAGCUCUCUGCCCGACACUCCUCGGGGGAAGCUGGCCUGCCUUUGUCCUGGCGGUCAAACCAGGGUGAGCCUCGGCCAGGCAGUGCUCCUGGGGGUGGAGGAUGGGUGACCUGGCAGAGGCCCCAGGGCCGCAGGGCCGGCCCCCUGCGUGGCUCCUCCUUGGACACGGCCAUGGCAGAAGUUUCAGCGCCGGAGCAAAGCCCAAAGGCAGGCUGGCUACUGCCUUUCCCAGACAUCCCCUCUCCAAGGUCAGGGUCAGAGCUGUCAGAGGCCUCCAGCAAAGUUUGGGAGGAGGACUGCGAGGAGGACCUGCCAGAACCCUGUACCGGGGCCAAGCCAGCCUCGGGGAGCUCCCUGCCUGCAGGUGGCUCACUGGGCCUUGGAAGCGGCGUGGAGCCCCAGGUGGCUCCUCCCUCCCCACGGUCCGGGGAGGGGCGGGAAGCUUCUGGGACCAGCGAGAGCCUGAAAGGGGGUGUCAGAAGCGGCAUGGAGCCCCAGGUGGCUCUUCCGUCCCCAUGGCCUGGGGAGGGGCUGGAAGCUUCUGGGACCAGCGAGAGCCUGAUGGGGGUGUCAGACACAGGAGAAGCCCUCCAGGCACCCCCUGAGGCCGCCGGUGUGGUGUUCCCGCUGCAAAUCUCUUCUGCCGGUGACUCGGACUCACUGCUGGUCUUUCCUUCGUGGACCUCUUUGAGUGAAGGGGCAGAUUUCGGCAAAGGAGGAGAGACUUCUGGCUACCAGGAGGGAACCCGGGAUGCUGACCCGAGCCCAUCCACCAAGAGCAAACUCCCGUACCUCAUGCCAGAGCCCGAGACCCCGGUGACCCUGCAGGCUCCUCCUGGGGACCCAGGCAGGCUGGCACCUCCAGUAGCUGAGAGCCGGGCGCCUGGGCCUGGUGGGAAUGGGGCCCCCACUGUCCUGGAGGAAGCCUGUCCCCUACUUGCCGGUGACGUCUUGACUGAGAUCCUGUCUCCCGUGGACGAGUUGCUGUCCUACGGCAGUGCCGACCUCCCGUCCUCCAUCCACAGGGAGGCCCCCCUACCCCCACCUCCUCCCACUCCCCAAGCACAGAGUGAUGGUGAAGACACCAACCCAUGCUCGGAUGCCUUCCCUUCCCCGCCCUCGGGGCCCCUUGAGGAGGACACCGCCAUCACCACCCAGGAUUUGUCCUCCUUGUCUGAGGAGAGUCUGCCGGAGGGACUGUUUCCUGGGCCCCAGGGGUCGGCGGGAACCCAGUAGUUGGGGCUCUGCCCAGGGGUGGCUGGUCCGGGUGGAAGCGUUGACGACCAGUUGGGUAGAUGCAGUUCUGCAGCAGGGGAUGAGGCCGGAGGCAGCCAGUGGCCUGAACCUGUCAGCUGGCCAGGGCACUCGUCGUGUGAGGGGUCAGGCAGUGCCCCUGGAGGGCUCCCAGGGCCAUCAGUGCAGCCCCCAGCUCCAUCCAGAGUGGCCUCUGUGGCCAGGGAAGGUCUGUCAGGGCUGUUGGCAGCUGGUGACGUGGAAGUGAUGAUCGGCGGACUGGGCUCCUGUUUUGGGCACAGGGUUCUGGGCUGAUGUGGCCUUUGAGGAGGUCUUGGGCAGUCGGGGAGAGCCCUGGGAAGGAGCGCAGAGCUCUGGGCAUGCAGAGAGCCGGGGUGGGUAGCGGGGCAGCUCUUAGUGGGUCUGGAUGAGCUCCUGGACACUGCCUCACCUGCGGCAGGGUCCCUGGGCAGCCGAGCCUGCUUGGCCAAGACCCCCACCAGGGGCCAAGACCCCAAAGAAAUGCUGGGUAAGAACAGGAAGGCAGCCACACCCCCACAGGCAGCCACACCUCCAUGUCCCUGGUUGGCAGCCCCGGCAGCCUCUCUCCCAGGCCAAGUGCCCUUGGCCGCCAGUGGAAAGUCUGGGUCCCUUGAGCAUGCUGGUGAGGACGUUGAGGGAGGCCUGAGCUGCCAGGUAGAGGACCCACCCAGGCCCGAGGGCUCACUGGGCAGAAAGCCGCUCCUGGAGACAGACUCAGGCCGCUGUACCCAUCUCCCAGGUGUGGAGAGAGACCAGGCAGUGGACUUGGUCUCCACGUGGCUCACCAGGAGGGUCCUGCGUGACUCCUUAGCAGCUCUCUCCACACAGGCCCCCAGGUGCAGCCCCUAGGGAGUGUUUUCUGGAACUACAGAGGUGCACAGGCGUCCACAAUGUCAUUGUGAGCUGUGUGUGGCAUACACAUGCACACGUGGGAGUAAGAACCUAGAGGCCUGGACUUUCCCAGGGUGGACCGGCCGGGCGGCCGGCUGUGCGGGACAGUCUCCUGGACCUUUCCCCGGUGGACCGGGUGGGCGGCCGGCUGUGCAGGAUGGUCGCCUGGACCUUCCCAGGGUGGACCGGGUGGGCGGCCGGCUGUGCGGGACGGUUGCCUGGACCUUCCCCCGGUGGACAGGGUGGGCGGCCGGCUGUGCGGGACGGUUGCCUGGACCUUCCCCUGGUGGACGGGGUGGGCGGCCGGCUGUGCGGGAUGGUCGCCUGGACCUUCCCAGGGUGGACUGGGUGGGCGGCCGGCUCUUCCCAGGGUGGACCAGGUGGGCGGCCGGCUCCGCAGGACGGUCGCCUGGACCUUCCCGGGGUGGACUGGGUGGGCGGCCGGCUCUUCCCAGGGUGGGCCGGGUGGGCGGCCGGCUCUUCCCGGGGUGGACCGGGUGGGCGGCCGGCUCUUCCCCUGGUGGACAGGGUGGGCGCCGGCUCUGCGGGACGGUCGCCUGGACCUUCCCCUGGUGGACGGGGUGGGCGGCCGGCUGUGCGGGAUGGUUGCCUGGACCUUCCCAGGGUGGACUGGGUGGGCGGCCGGCUCUUCCCAGGGUGGACCAGGUGGGCGGCCGGCUCCGCGGGACGGUCGCCUGGACCUUCCCGGGGUGGACUGGGUGGGCGGCCGGCUCUUCCCAGGGUGGACCAGGUGGGCGGCCGGCUCCGCGGGACGGUCGCCUGGACCUUCCCGGGGUGGACCGGGUGGGUGGCCGGCUCUUCCCCCGGUGGACAGGGUGGGCGCCGGCUCCGCGGGACGGUCACCUGAAGCCAGGCCCGGACUGCACACCUGCUUCUUCGCAUCAAAGCCACGAAGAGGCGUCCAAGAAAAGGCGUUGCAGCCCAGAGGCAAGAACAGUCAGAGUCGCCAAGAGCAGGAACGAGGACGGGGCGGAGCAGCGCCUAUGCCAGGAAGGGGGUCAUGGGGAUCAGCGAAGGCCAAGAGAGGAAGAGAGAACAUCUGGGGAAAAGAAGAGCUGGGGUGGGCCUGACUGGUGCUGACUCACACCCCUGAGCCCUGCUUAGAAGUCAGGGGCAUCUGCCUGCUUUGACUUUGGAGGCUCCUCCCACACCCAAACUGCCGGCACAUGACGUGCAGCUGGGUGGACUGGGCAUGGAUGUCUCACACCUGAGCUGCACAGACCAGAGGAAGCCACGGCUCAAGGGCCCAAGGUCAUUUCUGCGCAGCCCGCACGGCCGGGGGCUUUUCCUCUGGGGAUCAGUGGCCCAAGGUCUCUUCUGGAGCAUGCUCAGGACUUGCUGUGCCUGGAAGGCCAGGGCAGCUGAUUUCUCCUGGUGCCAUGGACUUUUCUUUGCUUCCAGAGGAUUCACUGGGACCCCUGUAAUUUCUCUGGGACCCUUUUGAAUCUGAGGGUCUCUUCUUGAAUGCGGAGUUGAUGAGCAGCGUGUUGGCCUUAGGGACAUCUGUGUCCCAGCACUGAUCCUUCCAGGAUGUGGCUUCUCCUGUCCAGGGCCUCAGGCCUCCUCCACUUCAGAGAGGAGCAUACUCCAGACUUUAUGCAUGCAGUCUGGUGGGAGGCAUCACAAAGCUGGCGUGGCAAAGCCCUAAGAUGCCAGGUCACAGGACACACGGAGCUGCCAAGGCCCUCUACCCCAUAGCUCUGGUGAGAGACCCCAGGCCCCUUAGAACCUCUUUGGGCCCCCUGCCGUGAGGCAAGAGCCCCUCUCCAGACACCCCUCGCCCGGGAGCAGCUGGACCCAGCCUGCCUUCUCCAGCCCCGGGGCGGCUGCUUAGCCCCAGGUGCCGUUAACAAUGGCCGGCCUGUGUCAGGGUCCCCAUUCACCAUGUGCACAGGAAGCCCAGCUCGGGCCAUGCAUCUGAUUUUGCACCAGCUCCUGCCCAGCCCACCUGAGAAUGCAGAUGUUUGGAUCCAGUGGGGAAUGUGUUCCUGCUCCAUGCUCCCAAUUUCAGAACAAACUUUGAGCUGAGCUACAGCUUUCUCAUUGAUCCCCUUCUAGUCUUCUGAACAAAUUAGUCUGUGAUUUUUUAUUUUUUUCCAUUUAUUGCUGACCCUUUUGGAUUUAUGAGGCCGUGUGAGAGGAAUUAUGUAUCUCACACACACGCAUCUGGCAUGACGAUAAAUCUCCACCACUGAAGCCCCGCAGAUUUGCAGCGAAUCUGAUGGCUCCCAGGCUCGCUGCCACGUGGUUGGUGCUGACGUGCGGCGCAAUGCGGUGGCGGCUGCAGUCACAGCUGGAACCAGCGUGACUUUCCCUGGGAGCCCAGCAGGUGCCUCGCGUCGCUGGCAGGUGGUAGGGUGCCCUUGAAGGGGGCUGGUCGUGAGGAACGAAGGAAAACCCGGGCCAGGGCUUCCAAGGACAGCGGCCCUGGAGGGGGCCGGAGCCGUCAGGUUACUCUGAGCACCGGAGAAAAAGCCGCUUCAGCAGAGGUGUAAACGCAUUUAAUCUCCCAACAGGACAUAUACAGAGCGGAGGGCUUUGGCAUUCAGAUAUAUUGACCGGGCAAGAUGGUAAUCCAAGGUUCCUCCCCUUCAAGGUCUCCUGCUGUAUUUGCCUGGGCUCUGAUCUGUCGUCACCGCUUGGGCCAAUAAAUCUUGAUACCAG
rnacentral:lncRNA from 1 species